rnacentral:lncRNA from 1 species
CUUUGUAAUUACCAAAAUAUGAUCAGAGACAGAAAUGAAAAAAAAUAAGAAAGAUGGAUGACUAUACUAUACCCCUGGAUCUUAAAACAACAACUCACUAAUGGAAGAAACUUUGAAAUCCCUAAAGAUCUUAAAAUGAUCCUCUUCCUCAGCCCCUAAUUUUGGAAUUUAGAAUGCUGAAGCUUCUGGCCGACCUCAACUCGAUAAGUUCCAAUCAUCUAUUGAGGAGCUUGAAACAAAUAGAAACCGCUUUUUUCAUCCACG